GGGCGGGAGGUGCUGAGGGGGGAGCCGCGUCUGGGGACGGGGAUCCCUCUCUCCCUCCGUUCUAUCCGCCGGGAGUACGGCCGUGUCGUCGGGCCAGGCCGCGAGUAGAGCCCGCCCCGGCCGUGAGAGGAGGGUCUGCAGAUCUGCUUCUCCAUUGUCCCACUCCAUAUCAAUGUGGCACAUCGAUAGGAGACUCCUGUGUUCCUGAGAAAGCCCAGGGGACAUGCAGAUACGGGGAUUAAAGCAUGGAUCUGCCUGAGACUUCGAGUGCAAGCACACAAACUUUAAGAGCACAUCGUGUUACUGUUCUCCUGGGGAAGGAAAACCAAAAUAAGAAAAGGCCUUUGCUCUCUGCGUAUGCGUAUCCCUGAGAUGGAACUCCACGUUUCAGAUGCCAGACGUGGUACCAGAAUGCCUGGCACUGCAGCAGUUGCCUGGUAAAUGUACAGGUAUCCAACAUGCCUUUAUUUUUAUAAAGAUAGCCAGGGUAGGAGAUGGGUUAUUUAUUGUCAACCCAUGCGACUGGGGAGGAGGAACUGAUCCCCACCUUCCCCCAAGUCCUGCCCACCAUCCAUCUCUCCCAGUGUAUAAUGGGCUGCCAGUGCCACCAUGGUACGAGGAUGUUGCUGUGGGGCUCCAUUAGGAGAAACAAUCUUCUGCUUCCAGGCUUAGCCCCUGUCCCAGAAAAUCUACCAGGCUGCUGCCAGAAAGAACAUUUGCCAAUUGAUUUUCUGUUAUUGCUACAAUGCUGAAUCAUGGAGCAAUGUCUGUCUGAAGUCACUCUUUCCUGGCAGAAAUGAAGCUGUCCCCUACCUCCCAGCCCCAAGAACGGCAUUAAAUUAUUAUUAGGGUGCAUUCAGGAACAGAAGAUGUAAACGCGUGAAGGAUGCUACACAGGCUUCAACACCAAAGUCAUUUGUAGAUGCUGACAAACACAAACAAAUCAAUAACAGCACAUCCCAUUCAGCUGGGCCUGUGAAGACGGGUGGUGACAUUUUGUGUAGCAAAUACAUCAAAUUAAAAAAAAAAUCAAGCUGGAAAAUACAGGCUUUUUGGUGAUCUGUGCCCAGCUCACACUGUGAACAUUUGGACACCGAGAGCUGAGAAAAGGAUAGUUUGAAGCAUCUGGAAACUUGAAGCUGCCUAUUCCCAGGACUCUGUUAUGACACAAGUUAGGACUGGAGAAGGAGAAAAAAAAAAGCAUUGCUGUUGCAAUUCAGGAUGUUGUCAAGGCCAGAUGGAAAGUACUGGGCCUGAGCUAAAAUAUCCUUUUAGCGGCUUCUUAAAGGCCAUUUUAAAAUUCUUCACACAGACCACACUUACUGCUGACGGUCUGCACAACCUGAAGAACUUUAUGCACAGC